UACGUAGGGUGCAAGCGUUAUCCGGAAUUAUUGGGCGUAAAGAGCUCGUAGGCGGUUUGUCGCGUCUGCUGUGAAAACUGGAGGCUCAACCUCCAGCCUGCAGUGGGUACGGGCAGACUAGAGUGCGGUAGGGGAGAUUGGAAUUCCUGGUGUAGCGGUGGAAUGCGCAGAUAUCAGGAGGAACACCAAUGGCGAAGGCAGCACUCUGGGACGUGACUGACGCUGAGACGCGAAAGCGUGGGGAGCAAACAGG
rnacentral:rRNA from 1 species